rnacentral:misc_RNA from 1 species
UUUCCGUAGGUGAACCUGCGGAAGGAUCAUUAUUGUAUAACCGAGGUGCGAGGGCUGUCGCUGACCCGAAAGGUCGUGCACGCCCGAGUGCCCUCACACACAUCCAUCUCACCCCUAUGUGCACCACCGCGUGGGUCCCCCUUUGGCUUGUUCGGAGGGGGGCUUACGUUUUCACACAAACUUUGUAUGCAGUGUAGAAUGUAUUUUUUGUUUUUGCGAUCACGCAAUCAAUACAACUUUCAACAACGGAUCUCUUGGCUCUCGCAUCGAUGAAGAACGCG